ACGGAAGGCAGCAGUGGGGAAUAUUGCACAAUGGGGGAAACCCUGAUGCAGCGACGCCGCGUGAGUGAAGAAGUAUUUCGGUAUGUAAAGCUCUAUCAGCAGGGAAGAUAAUGACGGUACCUGACUAAGAAGCACCGGCUAAAUACGUGCCAGCAGCCGCGGUAAUACGUAUGGUGCAAGCGUUAUCCGGAUUUACUGGGUGUAAAGGGAGCGUAGACGGCUGUGCAAGUCUGAAGUGAAAGCCCCGGGCUCAACUCGGGAACUGCUUUGGAAACUGUAUAGCUAGAGUGCAGGAGAGGUAAGUGGAAUUCCUAGUGUAGCGGUGAAAUGCUUAGAUAUUAGGAGGAACACCAGUGGCGAAGGCGGCUUACUGGACUGUAACUGACGUUGAGGCUCGAAAGCGUGGGGAGCAAACAGGAUUAGAUACCCUGGUA
rnacentral:rRNA from 1 species